rnacentral:tRNA from 1 species
UGGCUGAGCGGUAAAGCGCUUGGCUUCUGAACCAAUGGUCCCUGGUUCGAAUCCUGG